AAGUCUUUCUUCCAAGGGUUGACCGAUGUGUGGAAUGACAUGGUAAAUGAAGGUGAAGCACCUGCUUCUUCUCUUGCCUUUCCCCCCAAGAAACAUUUGUGUGAACCUUGUCAUGCACAGGGACGUGCAAGAGUUCAGGAGGGGAGAGUGUAACCCACAUCAGAUUUGUGGGUUGUGCUGCUGCAUAAUGUUAGAGGUGUAAUUUUCCCUCCCUGCCACUAGGAGGCGAGUAUGCCUUGAGAUGACUUUCUGUUAGUCAACAUUUCCUGUUGUGAAAGCCAUUACUCACGAGGCAACCGCCAAAUUAGCUGAAAGAUCCUGGAUCUGAAAUCUGUGAAAUACGGCCGUGGGAAGCUGCGUCAGCCAGGCGAGCUAUCUCACCACGAGCUCCGAUUGGUUUUUGACCAGGACCGGAUCAAUUGAGAUCUGAACCCUGUGGGUUCAGUGGCGAGCCAAUCCCAAGAGAGUGACUGUAGACGGACCAGAGUACGGUGUGGCCAGCCGUGGGAUCCAUCUUCAGCGAACCUCAGGACUAUCACUACAUCCCUUGACACAGAUAAGACUGACACUUUAAAAAUCUACCCGGGUAGUGU